CUUGCCAUGCUUGGGUCAGGUCAUCGGGUUGCAACCUAAAACGGCACCGUUUCAAAGCCAUUAAAGCGGGCCAUAAACGGUGACGUUUUCAAAACUCUCCUUAAACCAAUAUCAGGUCUUAUAAUGCUUAACCUUAAUAGAAAUAAACCCUAAAAAAACUUAACCCCUUCCCUUAGAAGUUGCGCCGUUUCAGACACAGCCAGUCAAAGGCCCCCCGAUCCCACGCCCGAUCUUCGAUUACGACGAAGAGGACGAGGAUUCGGCUUCACAACAAAGGUACGGGUACAGAGGUGCGCGGGUGCGUGGCAGAUACAGAGGUUAUAGAGGCGUACGUGAGUGGAGCGGCUCGAAGGUGCGGUUCGUGCGAGGGCAGAGCCUGCGGUGCCUAGAUCUUCUGAAAACCCUAGGAGUUUUCCGUUUCUGAUUUGGGUUUUCUGGUGUUGGGCCAUUUGGGCCGAUUUGGUUUUAGGUUUUUAUUUUUUUUACUGGUUUAUUUUUGGUUUACGGGCCGGGGAAAAUAUUGGGCCUUACAGGUAUAAUUCCAGUUCCUCAAUUGAGUUACCAUCAUGUUCCUCCGCAUUUGAAGCGAUGUUUUGCGUACUGCCCCAUUCUUCUUAAGGGCUAUUCAAUGAGGAAGACUUAAUCUUGUUAUGGAGGGCACAAGGCUUUCUAGUAAGAAGAACAAGAUAAACAAGGCAUUGAAGAAGUAGGUCACAAGUACUUUAGAGAUUUAGUGUCAAGGUCCCUUUUGCAAAUAAUGAUUUGGCUCAAUCAGCUGCUGGAUAACUAUGCUUCAAGAUCGAGGGUAAUCAACAAAUUUCAAAGCACGCUGGCUACUGAUCUUAUUUUGCUAAUUGUUAUGAUGGCAUCACAAGGUUUGUGGGCAUUUCUAAAGGGCAACGUUUAAGGAGCUUUUUGCCAUUGAGACUAUGAAAUGAUCAUAAGAUAUGCUUUGUUGUGACAUUUGAGAUGGUUAAGGAUGUUUUCUUUAAGAGGGUAUCAUAUCACAGCGUUGCUUGAUUUUAUCGGGGAUUUAAAACAUUUACGAUACUUCGAUUUUUCUCAAACUGUGAUUAAAAGAUUGCUCGAGUCAAUAAAUACCCUUUAUAGCUUUUAUUAAAAAAGUGUCACAGCCUUGAGAAGCUACCUUCAAAUAUGGAAAAUCUACUCAACCUAUGUUAUCUUGAUGUCACUGGUGCAAUAGACGGAGAAACUAUCCAAUUUUGUGUUGGGUAAAAACUGGGGAUAUCAAAUAAAGGAGCUAAAGGAUUUGUGAGAUAUCAAAUAAAGGACAACUUUGUAUUUCAGGCUUACAGAAUGUUGUUGAAUGUCAAGAUGCGUGGAUGGCUAAGUUACAUGAUAAGCAAGGCUUGGGAAACUAGAAAAUGGAGUGCAAACUUUGAGAAUAGAACACAAGAAGUCGAGAAAAAGGUAUUGGAUUGACUUCAACCUUCUAAAAAAGCUUAAGGACCUUACAAUUACCUUUUAUUGUGGUACAAUGUUAGCCAAUUGGGUAGGAAUAGAGUGCAUUUCCUUCAUUGGAGAGUUUACAGUUUGAGGACCUGCCUAAGUGAGAUAACUGGAACAUUUGUGAAGUUGAUGAGCAAGCCAGGAAUGUAAUUGGCCAAAUUUGCCUGGCCUACAUGAAGCAAAACAGUCCAAAUACAACAGUAUUUUGGGCCCAAAACCCAAACCAAAAAUACAAUAACAAUGGCCCAAACUACAGUGGCCCAAAUUACAGUCAGAAACCCUAGGGUUUCAACAGCGCCGCAAGCCAAGCAUCGCAUCUCCGCGAUCUUCACUUGCAAGGAAACAAACAGAAAAAGGAAAGAAAAUUAAAGAUUUGCAGAUCAAAUAGAUUUUCUUUUUUUGUUUCUUUUUAUUCUUAUUUCGGCUAUAAAAAGCCAUUGAAUGGACUGUAAUAAGGAUCGGAUUCGAAAUCAAUAAAAAGACAAGCAUUCUUUACAAA